AGGGGGGGGUGGGGGGGGUGGGGGGUGAAGUGAGUAAUCUUGUUUUCUUGAAGAUGAUGAGAGAAGAAAGUGUUGGGGAGAUUUAUUCAACAACCAGAAGCAUGGGUCUGUCCUUUCAUUAAUAAUGUUUCAGAGAGUGGGUAAUGUGUACGUAUAUAUAUAUCUGUAUGUAUAUGUAUGUAUAUAUAUGUAUAUGAUGUAUAGCUGGAUUCGUUCAGAUUUAGUGUGUGUAUUUUGCACACAAAUACACACACUCAUCAUUAUUGCAAAAUUCCGUAACGUUAUAAUUUCUUUCUGAUGUUCUUUAAUUUAAUUUGACUAUAUGUAUGUACUUUCUGGUAUGGUGGAAAAUCAAAAUUAGAAAAGUCUAAUUUUGAUUUUGUAAAAUUGAAGAUUAAAAUGAAAUUAAGAAUUGGGCUUCUUCUACUAGGACCAGGCAUCUAUUUGACUCAUUUAUUGCCAUUUUUU
rnacentral:lncRNA from 1 species